rnacentral:rRNA from 1 species
CGAAGCCUGACGGAGCAAUACCGCGUGAGGGAAGAAGGCUUUUGGGUUGUAAACCUCUUUUGUCAGGGAAGAAGAAUUGACGGUACCUGAAGAAAAAGCAUCGGCUAACUCCGUGCCAGCAGCCGCGGUAAUACGGAGGAUGCAAGCGUUAUCCGGAAUCAUUGGGCGUAAAGGGUCCGCAGGUGGCGAAUAAAGUCUGCUGUUAAAGACCGGGGCUAAACUCCGGAAAGGCAGUGGAAACUGAUUAGCUAGAGUACGGUAGGGGUAGAGGGAAUUCCCAGUGUAGCGGUGAAAUGCGUAGAUAUUGGGAAGAACACCGGUGCGAAAGCGCUCUACUAGGCCGAAACUGACACUGAGGGACGAAAGCUAGGGUAGCGAAAGGGAUUAGAUACCCCUGUAGUCUUAGCGGUAAACGAUGGAUACUAGGUGUAGCUUGUAUUGACCCGAGCUGUGCCGAAGCUAACGCGAUAAGUAUCCCGCCUGGGGAGUACGCACGCAAGUGUGAAACUCAAAGGAAUUGACGGGGGCCCGCACAAGCGGUGGAGUAUGUGGUUUAAUUCGAUGCAACGCGAAGAACCUUACCAGGGCUUGACAUGUCGCGAAUCUAGCGGAAACGUUAGAGUGCCUUAGGGAAUGCGAACACAGGUGGUGCAUGGCUGUCGUCAGCUCGUGUCGUGAGAUGUUGGGUUAAGUCCCGCAACGAGCGCAACCCUCGUCCUUAGUUGCCAAUAUUAAGUUAGGCACUCUAGGGAGACUGCCGGGGACAACUCGGAGGAAGGUGGGGAUGACGUCAAGUCAGCAUGCCCCUUACGUCCUGGGCGACACACGUACUACAAUGGUUGGGACAAAGGGCAGCAAGCUCGCGAGAGUAAGCGAAUCUCAUCAAACCCAGCCACAGUUCAGAUUGCAGGCUGCAACUCGCCUGCAUGAAGUAGGAAUCGCUAGUAAUCGCAGGUCAGCAUACUGCGGUGAAUUCGUUCCCGGGCCUUGUACACACCGCCCGUCACACCAUGGAAGCUGGCUACGCCCGAAGUCGUUACCCUAACCCGGUUUUGGGAGGGGGAUGCCGAAGGUAGAGCUAGUGACUGGGGUGAAGUCGUAACAAGGUAGCCGUACCGGAAGGUGUGGCUGGAUCACCUCCUUU